rnacentral:rRNA from 1 species
AUUAUUCGACAAUGGGCGAAAGCCUGAUCCAGCCAUCCCGCGUGUGUGAAGAAGGUCUGCGGAUUGUAUUGCACUUUAAGUUGGGAGGAAGGGCAGUUAGUGAAUACAUUGCUGUUUUGACGCUAUCGACCGAAUAAGCACAGUUUAACUUCGUACAAGCAUCCGCGGUAAUACGAAGGGUGCAAGCGUUAAUCGGAAUUACUGGGCGUAAAGCGCGCGUAGGUGGUUUGUUAAGUUGGAAGUGAAAGCCCCGGGCUCAACCUGGGAACUGCUUUCAAAACUGGCAAGCUAGAGUAUGGCAGAGGGUAGUGGAAUUUCCUGUGUAGCGGUGAAAUGCGUAGAUAUAGGAAGGAACACCAGUGGCGAAGGCGACUACCUGGACUGAUACUGACACUGAGGUGCGAAAGCGUGGGGAGCAAAC